rnacentral:rRNA from 1 species
UACGAAGGGGGCUAGCGUUGCUCGGAAUCACUGGGCGUAAAGCGCACGUAGGCGGCUUUUAAGUCAGGGGUGAAUCCUGGAGCUCAACUCCAGAACUGCCUUUGAUACUGAGAGCUUGAGUCCGGGAGAGGUGAGUGGAACUGCGAGUGUAGAGGUGAAAUUCGUAGAUAUUCGCAAGAACACCAGUGGCGAAGGCAGCUCACUGGCCCGGUACUGACGCUGAGGUGCGAAAGCGUGGGGAGCAAACAGG